GAUGAACGCUGGCGGCGUGCCUAAUACAUGCAAGUCGAGCGAACAGACGAGGAGCUUGCUCCCUUGACGUUGGCGGCGGACGGGUGAGUAAGACGUGGAUAACCAACUUAUAUGUCUGGGAUAACUACGGGGAACCGGUGAUAAUACUAGAUAAUAUAAUCUACGGGUUGGAUCAAUAGUGAUAGACGGUUUUGGUGUCUCUUUUAGAUGGUUCCGCGCCGCAUUAGCUAGUGGGUAAGGUAACGGCUUACCAAGGCGACGAUGCGUAGCCGAUCUGAGAGGGUGAUCAGCCACACUGGAACUGAGACACGGUCCAGACUCCUACGGGAGGCAGCAGUAGGGAAUCUUGCGCAAUGGGCGAAAGCCUGACGGAGCAACGCCGCGUGAGUGAUGAAGGUCUUCGGAUCGUAAAGCUCUUUUGUUAGGAAAGAAAAGAUGUAUAUUAAACUCUGCACGUCUUGACGGUACCUAAUGAGAAAGCCACGGCUAACUACGUG
rnacentral:rRNA from 1 species